CACACACCUGGGUUAAGGGAUCCGUAAGGUGCCUUCAGAAAAUAUGGCGACAUCCAGGCUUCAGUUGUCACUGGCUGCUCUUAAGGGCGCCGUCCCGUGACCGUAUCAAACAUGGCGCUGGUCUGGCUUUUCAUUGCCCACUUGACCUUAAAUACAAUGGCCGUGCAGGUGAGUUUUAACGGGUGGGAGCUGAGGGGAGCUUUCCUGCCAUCAAGAAAGAUGGACGUGCCCGCGGCUUCCAGCACUCCCGCUGGCCGCGUUGCACGCCGGUGAUUGGCCGCGACAGCAGGAAGCGGCUGUGCCGCGACGCGGGACUGGCGGGGCGUUUUCACGCGGAAGUCUCUGUAGGCGGGAUCUGGAACCCAGCAACGAUCUCGGCGUUUGUGGAGCUCGGGACUUUGAACUCGAUGGUCUCCUUCUGCGCGUCCCGGCAGCAGGAUCCGCAAGCCGGUCUCUGGCCCCUGCGGGAAGACGCACACACCUGGCCAAACCCUGGGGGCAGCCGAGGUAGAGAUCAGGUACACGUUUACACUUGGGUGCACAGCUGCGGAGCCGACCCGACUCCUUGCACCGGCAGUUCCGCUCGCUCAUUUUCUGGACUGGAGCCGCCGGCGAAGGAAGGUGCUUGGGAUGGAGAAAACAUAAGAAGAUGGAGCUAAGUACACUUGGCUGUUAACCAUCAGAUUGCAACGUUCAAGACUAAAACUGUUUGCUCAUAA